UACGAAGGGUGCAAGCGUUACUCGGAAUUACUGGGCGUAAAGCGUGCGUAGGUGGUUUGUUAAGUCUGAUGUGAAAGCCCUGGGCUCAACCUGGGAAUUGUAUUGGAUACUGGCAGGCUAGAGUGCGGUAGAGGAUGGCGGAAUUCCCGGUGUAGCAGUGAAAUGCGUAGAGAUCGGGAGGAACAUCUGUGGCGAAGGCGGCCAUCUGGACCAGCACUGACACUGAGGCACGAAAGCGUGGGGAGCAAACAGG
rnacentral:rRNA from 1 species